GAGUCAUUCUUGUUCUGUCUUGAAGCUGCUUGAGAGAUCUUUGUGAAACCUUCAGCCAUGAGAUUUGUUUGCCUUCUCUUUGCUUUGGGGGUCCUUCUUUCCCACACUGGGGCAGAAAAACAGAAAUCCUGUGAAUCACUUGGAGGCUACUGCCGGGUUCCAGCAAAUGAAAGAUGUCCCUUUGGUCCUCCACUUCGUGGCUACUGUGAAAACAAUGGGAGAUGCUGCUGGCUGAUACCUACAACUUGCAAAGCAUUGGGCGGUGAAUGCCUGGUCGCAGUAAAUGGAGGCUGCCCCUAUGGUGAAGACCUUCCAGUCAGAUGUGGAUUUAAAGAGAGAUGCUGCAGCGUUAAGAGAGACUGAAGAGUAGCCCAGAGCUACAUGUGCAAUGUGCACGUCCCCUCCUUAAUCCUGAUUUCCUGAUAACAAAGACAGAUCCUUGAGGAAGAGAAGCAUGGCAGCAGUUAUGUUAGGGAAGGGUGAUAAAUUGGUAUAACUACCUGAUCAGCUUUGUUUAAUGUGGA